CCCUUAGAUGUUCUGGGCCGCACGCGCGCUACACUGACGAAUGCAACGAGCUUAUAACCUUGGCCGAAAGGUCUGGGUAAUCUCCAAAUUUCGUCGUGAUGGGGAUAGAUUAUUGCAAUUAUUAAUCUUCAACGAGGAAUUCCUAGUAAACGCAAGUCAUCAGCUUGCAUUGAUUACGUCCCUGCCCUUUGUACACACCGCCCGUCGCACCUACCGAUUGAAUGGUCCGGUGAAUUCUUCGGACUGUGGCUUUGGAUCGGUUUCGGCCGAGACGCUGCCGUGGGAAGUUGUUUAAACCUUACCAUUUAGAGGAAGGUGAANUCGUANCA
rnacentral:rRNA from 1 species